rnacentral:rRNA from 1 species
UACGUAGGGUGCAAGCGUUAAUCGGAAUUACUGGGCGUAAAGCGUGCGCAGGCGGUUUUGUAAGUCUGUCGUGAAAGCCCCGGGCUCAACCUGGGAAUUGCGAUGGAGACUGCAAGGCUUGAAUCUGGCAGAGGGGGGUAGAAUUCCACGUGUAGCAGUGAAAUGCGUAGAGAUCUGGAGGAACACCGAUGGCGAAGGCAGCCUUCUGGGCCAACACUGACGCUCAUGCACGAAAGCGUGGGGAGCAAACAGG